ACGCUCGACACCUACUGGAGGCAGCAGUGAGGAAUAUUGGUCAAUGGGCGCUAGCCUGAACCAGCCAAGUAGCGUGAAGGAUGAAGGCUCUAUGGGUCGUAAACUUCUUUUAUAUAAGAAUAAAGUGCAGUAUGUAUACUGUUUUGUAUGUAUUAUAUGAAUAAGGAUCGGCUAACUCCGUGCCAGCAGCCACGGUAAUCUGAGCGGGCUGGCAAGGC
rnacentral:rRNA from 1 species